AUGAACGCUGGCGGCGUGCCUAAUACAUGCAAGUCGAGCGAACAGACGAGGAGCUUGCUCCUCUGACGUUAGCGGCGGACGGGUGAGUAACACGUGGAUAACCUACCUAUAAGACUGGGAUAACUUCGGGAAACCGGAGCUAAUACCGGAUAAUAUAUUGAACCGCAUGGUUCAAUAGUGAAAGACGGUUUUGCUGUCACUUAUAGAUGGAUCCGCGCCGCAUUAGCUAGUUGGUAAGGUAACGGCUUACCAAGGCAACGAUGCGUAACCGACCUGAGAGGGUGAUCGGCCACACUGGAACUGAGACACGGUCCAGACUCCUACGGGAGGCAGCAGUAGGGAAUCUUCCGCAAUGGGCGAAAGCCUGACGGAGCAACGCCGCGUGAGUGAUGAAGGUCUUCGGAUCGUAAAACUCUGUUAUUAGGGAAGAACAAAUGUGUAAGUAACUAUGCACGUCUUGACGGUACCUAAUCAGAAAGCCACGGCUAACUACGUG
rnacentral:rRNA from 1 species